rnacentral:misc_RNA from 1 species
UACGUGGGUGGCAAGCGUUGUCUGGAGUUAUUGGGCGUAAAGCGCGCGCGGGCGGUCCUUUAAGUCUGAUGUGUAAGCCCACGGCUCAACCGUGGAGGGUCAUUGGAAACUGGAGGACUUGAGUGCAGCAGAGGAAAGUGGAAUUCCAUGUGUAGCGGUGAAAUGCGUAGAGAUGUGGAGGAACACCAGUGGCGAAGGCGACUUUCUGGUCUGUAACUGACGCUGAGGCGCGAAAGCGUGGGGAGCAAACAGG